GGACCCGCACAAGUAGUGGAGCAUGUGGUUUAAUUCGAAGAUACGCGCAGAACCUUACCAACACUUGACAUGUUCGUCGCGACUCUAAGAGAUUAGAGUUUUCGGUUCGGCCGGACGAAACACAGGUGCUGCAUGGCUGUCGUCAGCUCGUGUCGUGAGAUGUUGGGUUAAGUCCCGCAACGAGCGCAACCCUCACUUUUAGUUGCCAUCAUUUAGUUGGGCACUCUGAAAGAACUGCCAGUGAUAAGCUGGAGGAAGGUGGGGAUGACGUCAAGUCCUCAUGGCCCUUACGUGUUGGGCUACACACGUGCUACAAUGGUAUCUACAACAGGAAGCAAGACGGCGACGUCAAGCAAAUCCUUAAAAGAUACCUCAGUUCGGAUUGUCGUCUGCAACUCGACGGCAUG
rnacentral:rRNA from 1 species